rnacentral:rRNA from 1 species
AGAGUUUGAUCCUGGCUCAGGAUGAACGCUGGCGGUCUGCUUAACACAUGCAAGUCGAACGGGGCACUAUUUAUAGUGCUUAGUGGCGGACGGGUGAGUAACGCGUGAGGAUCUAGCUACAGGACGGGGACAACAGUUGGAAACGGCUGCUAAUACCCGAUGUGCCGGGAGGUGAAAGAUUUAUCGCCUGUAGAUGAGCUUGCGUCAGAUUAGCUAGUUGGAGUGGUAACGGCACACCAAGGCGACGAUCUGUAGCUGGUCUGAGAGGAUGGCCAGCCACACUGGAACUGAGACACGGUCCAGACUCCUACGGGAGGCAGCAGUGGGGAAUUUUCCGCAAUGGGCGCAAGCCUGACGGAGCAAGACCGCGUGCGGGAUGAAGGUCUGUGGAUUGUAAACCGCUUUUGUCAGGGAAGAAGGAUGACGGUACCUGACGAAUCAGCCUCGGCUAACUCCGUGCCAGCCGCCGCGGUAAUAC